CAUUCCAAAUCUUUACACCGUCGCUUAUUUUUCAUUAGGUUGGAAAAAGUAGUAUUUACGUCAAAAUGAACUUCAAUAAGAUUUUGCUAGUAUUAUUUGCGUGCUUCGUGGCGCUAACUGUAGCGAAUCCUGCGCCAAAGUUCAGACCGUUCAAAAAACUGGAAAAACUUGGACAGCGCAUUCGAGAUGGUCUCAUCAAAGCCGGUCCAGCUAUCGAAGUUUUAGGACAAGCACAGACUAUCUACAAAGGAUAACAUACCUUAACUUUAUAAAUAUAGAGAAGCUUAUUGUACCAGCCACCGAUUUGAAAUGCAUUCGUAGUUAUAAUAAAUUAAUUUAUUUACACAAA
rnacentral:lncRNA from 1 species